rnacentral:rRNA from 1 species
GAUGAACGCUAGCGGCAGGCUUAACACAUGCAAGUAGAACGGUAACAGUCCUUCGGGAGCUGACGAGUUGCGAACGGGUGCGUAACGCGUAUGCAACCUACCUAUAACAGAGGGAUAGCCCAUAGAAAUGUGGAUUAAUACCUCAUAACAUCUUAAGAUGGCAUCAUCUAAAGAUUAAAACUCCGGUGGUUAUAGAUGGGCAUGCGUGACAUUAGCUAGUUGGUGAGGUAACUGCUCACCAAGGCAACGAUGUCUAGGGGUUCUGAGAGGAUGAUCCCCCACACUGGUACUGAGACACGGACCAGACUCCUACGGGAGGCAGCAGUGAGGAAUAUUGCGCAAUGGAGGAAACUCUGACGCAGCCAUGCCGCGUGCAGGAAGACUGCCCUAUGGGUUGUAAACUGCUUUUAUAUAGGAAGAACUACAGAUACGUGUAUUUGUUUGACGGUACUAUACGAAUAAGGACCGGCUAACUCCGUGCCAGA